UUCAUGCCUUUCUACUGUGCUGCUUAAGUUGGUUUUUCCAUGGGAGGAUGUGGUAAGAACUCUUUGGAGCCACAGCAUAUACCUGGCAUAUCUUCCUUGGUGUCAGUUUUACUUUGAAGAUUUAGUCUACUUUGGACUCCUCUGAGAGCCCUGAGGAGAAUGGUUCACUGUCCCAAAUCUUAGGGACUUCAAAUCUUAGAAGUCCUCCGGAGGAAAUUCUUAGAGCAGCGACGACAACCUUAGACAAACUUAAACAGCAGACAGAGGGCAGGUAUGAAGAGGUCUUAGGUGAUGUUCCUGAGAGUUGGGGCCAGUGGGGUGCAUGAAGUCGCAGGAGAGUCUGGAGCCCUCCGGCAGGACAGCCUGAGGAGGCAGGACUGCAAGGAAGCCUCUGAGGAGGACUGCACUUCUCUCCACUGGGAGGAAAGGAAGCACUGGUUCCUACCCAGCCACUGUCUCCCUGAUCUAGAGGAAUAUGAAGGUAAAACAUCUUCAGAGUCUGAAACAGAAAGCAAAGCUUCUGCAGCUGAAAGGUGAGGCAAACAUGAAAGACCAGGAAUAGAAACAGAACAAGAGACAAAUAGUUAACCCUGAGUCUGGAUGGAUGAAGGAGGAAGUGAGAAUUAGACAGGUGAGGUGGAAAAGAGGGGUCUUCAGUCAUAGAACCAUAUAAGGAAAUCACAAUUUUCAUGCCCCUAAACUCUCCUUCCCCUCCCAGCAACUGAAAUCCUUUCUUUGACCAUCUGUCCAGGAGGAUAAAAAUACCCAGGCUGAGCACCUUGCCAAAUAUUUCCAAGAACCUGUUUACUGACCAUUUGAUUGACUUGGAGAGAUCUGGUCAGCAGC